UCUCUCUCUCUCUCUCAGAAAACCUAGAUCGGGCUGGAUUGGUGGUGGAGACAUGGCCUCCGGCGGCUAGGCAGGCGGCCCUGCUAGCGCCGCAGUGGGGCGCGUAGUCCCCUCGUGCGCGGUGGCUUGGGAUGCGGUGCCCAGGGGCGCAGCGGCCGGGGGCGCGACGGCCGGAGGCGUGGCGGCCGGGGGCACGGCGGCAGCCACACCGCCCAGGAGCGCGGCGGCAAGAGGUGCGCCGCUCGUGGGCGUGGCGGGCAGGGGCACGCCGGCCAGAGGUGCGGUAGCGCAGGGCCCCACUGGCCCAGGGGCGCACUCGCCGUUGGCUUCGGGUGAUGCGGCAGCAGGCGCUGAGGGCAAGGACGCCAUGGCCGUGAGAGUCGUUGGCUCGUUGCAUCUGCAGAACGACAAGCGCAGUACAUCAAUGAAGAAUCGCUUCAUAGGUGCAAUGUGAAUGAUUCAAGCUGUUAUUCCUCAUAUGAUGGAAACAAGGGAAAGUACAACUGCCAAUGUUGAAAGUAUUACUGCAUUGGCACCGGGAUCUUGGCCUGGUGUGUAUUCAACGUCAAAAGCUGCUCUUCAUGCAUUGAGUGAUUCACAAAGUAAUUGACUAUGUAGCUAGAGGGGUUCAAUAGAUUGCUGCGUAUGUGUUGGUUGAGGAUCAGAUGUAAAAAGGAACCAACAGUUAGAAGAGAUCAGUUGAUGAUCCGAUGCAUCUAUUAACAAGCAGUUAGAAGAGAUAGGAAAUUUGAAGAAGGCAACAGAGGAGACUGAUGGUUUUGGUCUAUCUAUAACUAGUGUCCUUCACCUUGGUUAUAAAUGGCUGUAAUCUCUUCUUUGGGUGUGAAUUGUAACUUAUCUCUUCAGGAUGAUGUGUCUGGUAACUUGUAAACGUUUUGAUGGUAAUUAAAAAUGAUCUAUGCCAAUGAAAAUAGGCCUGGAAAAAUUGCUUGCG